rnacentral:rRNA from 1 species
GCCUAACACAUGCAAGUCGAACGGUAACAGGGAGCAGCUUGCUGCUUUGCUGACGAGUGGCGGACGGGUGAGUAAUGUCUGGGAAACUGCCUGAUGGAGGGGGAUAACUACUGGAAACGGUAGCUAAUACCGCAUAACGUCGCAAGACCAAAGAGGGGGACCUUCGGGCCUCUUGCCAUCGGAUGUGCCCAGAUGGGAUUAGCUAGUAGGUGGGGUAAAGGCUCACCUAGGCGACGAUCCCUAGCUGGUCUGAGAGGAUGACCAGCCACACUGGAACUGAGACACGGUCCAGGCUCCUACGGGAGGCAGCAGUGGGGAAUAUUGCACAAUGGGCGCAAGCCUGAUGCAGCCAUGCCGCGUGUAUGAAGAAGGCCUUCGGGUUGUAAAGUACUUUCAGCGGGGAGGAAGGGAGUAAAGUUAAUACCUUUGCUCAUUGACGUUACCCGCAGAAGAAGCACCGGCUAACUCCGUGCCAGCCGCCGCGGUAAAAGGG